rnacentral:rRNA from 1 species
UUGGUGCUUCGGGAACUCUGAGACAGGUGCUGCAUGGCUGUCGUCAGCUCGUGUUGUGAAAUGUUGGGUUAAGUCCCGCAACGANACGCNAACCUUUUNUCUCUUUUGUUGCCAGNGGUCCGGCCGGGAACUCAAAGGAGACGCAGUGAUAAACUGGAGGAAGGUGGGGAUGACGUCAAGUCAUCAUGGCCCUUACGAGUAGGGCUACACACGUGCUACAAUGGCAUAUACAAAGAGAAGCGACCUCGCGAGAGCAAGCGGACCUCAUAAAGUAUGUCGUAGUCCGGAUUGGAGUCUGCAACUCGACUCCAUGAAGUCGGAAUCGCUAGUAAUCGUAGAUCAGAAUGCUACGGUGAAUACGUUCCCGGGUCUUGUACACAACCG